GUGCUUGCUUCAGCAGCCUGUAUACUAAAAUUGAGAUAAUACAGAGAUUACCAUGGCCCCUGCUCAAGGAUGGCAUGCAAAUUCAGGAAGUGUUGGGUAAUUUU